rnacentral:rRNA from 1 species
GACGAACGCUGGCGGCGCGCUUAACACAUGCAAGUCGAACGGAAAGGCCAGCUUUCCCUUGUGGAUUGCGGGUACUCGAGUGGCGAACGGGUGAGUAACACGUGAGUGAUCUGCCCCCAACUUGGGUAUAAGCCUGGGAAACUGGGUCUAAUUCCCGAUAGGACUGCAGGGUGGUGCCUGUGGUGGAAAACGAUUUUCUAGUGGUUGGGGAUGAGCUCGCGGCCUAUCAGCUUGUUGGUGGGGUAAUGGCCUACCAAGGCGGCGACGGGUAGCCGGCCUGAGAGGGUGGACGGCCACAUUGGGACUGAGAUACGGCCCAGACUCCUACGGGAGGCAGCAGUGGGGAAUAUGGCACAAUGGGCGGAAGCCUGAUGCAGCGACGCCGCGUGGGGGAUGACGGCCUUCGGGUUGUAAACUCCUUUCGACCGCGAGGAAGCCACCUGGUUGGAAGGGUGGUGACGGUAGUGGUAGAAGAAGCACCGGCUAACUACGUG